UACGUAGGGUGCAAGCGUUAAUCGGAAUUACUGGGCGUAAAGCGUGCGCAGGCGGUUCGGUAAGAAAGAUGUGAAAUCCCAGAGCUUAACUUUGGAACUGCAUUUUUAACUACCGAGCUAGAGUGUGUCAGAGGGAGGUAGAAUUCCGCGUGUAGCAGUGAAAUGCGUAGAUAUGCGGAGGAACACCAGUGGCGAAGGCGACUUCCUGGGAUAACACUGACGCUCAUGCACGAAAGCGUGGGGAGCAAACAGG
rnacentral:rRNA from 1 species